GAUAAAUGACGGUGACGCACCAUCAUCCAGCAGGUCGUCUUCAGCCCAGAGUGAGGACCUGAGUGAGGACCAAGAAACAGCUACUCUAGGCCACGAUGUGGGCAGGGUUUAUGCCUGCUGGUCAGGUCACUGUUCCUCCGUGGACUUCCGCUGGGCUAAGGAGUGUGACAUCCGGGAGGCUUGUGUCUUAUGUCUGCAAGAGACAGGCGGUGGCUGGAGCACAAGUGAAAAUCCUCACGUCCUCCACAAUGGAGAAUCACCAGCGAUCAAAAAAGCCUGAAGAGAACGUGGAGGCCCUGAAAGCUGCCAUGACUGUAGAGGACAGAGAGUGUUUCAGCUCCAGCACCGCCGACUUGGAAGCUGAACAACCUCCUCCCUGCCUCCAUAUUUCACUGAUGAUGAAAG